rnacentral:lncRNA from 1 species
UUUUUUUGGUAAGUAAAAGUAAAUUGAUUGUGUAAAGUUUCUACAAAUAGCUUUAUCUAUACAAGUCAUAGAGAAAGCCAAGUAACUCAUAGAGUGUGAAUGCGAUAGUUAUGACUACACAUGUUGUAGACUAUAACUACCUGUGGGUACAUUAUUUGGCAUCAUUCCCAAGAUCUUUAGCUAAUAGCAAAAUUAAAUUUGAUAAAAAUAUCUUUUUCUCUUCGGGUGAAGUGCUCGGUUUUGAGAUCAUGCUCCAUACAGGAUCUUGAGUCUCUAAUAAUCUCUUUCAAGAGCUGAGCAUUGUUUGUGUGUUGACAUUCAAAGAUUCUAUUACAUCUCUCCUUCCACAUCCACCAAAUAGCGCAUCUGAAAGUAACCUUUGCCAGUUGUGUAAGUGGCCCUUUUCUUGAGAAACAUUGCAUAAGGUCGCCUAGUUCUUGGUGCAAGUUUGGUUGCGGCAGUCUAUUGAGUUUAAAUCGCUGGAGAAUCUCCUUCCAUAUCUAUUUUGUAUAAUUACAAGCAAAAUAGAGGUGGUCAACAGUUUCUUCUUGUUGCAAACAAAGGGAGCAUCGGUUAACAUGAUAGAUACCUCUUCUUUUCAUAUUGUCUAUUGUAGGUAGUUUAUU